AAAAAUACAACUUGCCUUUAGUACUGCCAAAUAACUUUUCUGACUAAACAGAACUCAAAUAAUCAAAUAGUGUAGUAAAACUCAUUAUAACAAGUUUUCACAACUAAUUUGGGAAUUUCACCUAACAAACUUAAGAAACUGAGUUGACUCAACUUGCAUAAUUAAGUAUCUAUAAGAGAGAAGUUUCCCAAAGUUCACUGAACUUCUUAGUCAAGUUGGCGCAAGCGCAUUGUUUCCUAACGUAUCAAGGCGACCUGUGGGCUGCAGCUUGAAUUUGUCAGGAGGACAGAAGCCAGUCACCUUCCCUACCUGUAUGCAGCGUGGAGCAAAUGACAACAGCAUUGUCAAAGACUCUUCUGUUGCAAUGCAAUGUAAGGAGUGUCCAUUUUCUCACCCGGAUGUAGAGACCCUCCUGACCCAUUACAGGCUUCAUCACGGUCACCAGGGAAAAAGCUGGCUCUGCCUCCACCCUAAGUGCAUGUGCAUCUUUAAGACUUCAGGAUGCAGAUGCUGAGGAGGACUAGAGGCAUGAAUGAAUUGGAAUCUUGACCGUCAUUGAAGACGACCUCGCCAUGAAAGCGCCAGACACUGUCACCAAUAUCGCCAUCGUCCUGGAAGAGACUGUUGUUCUACAGGACAUCAAGGAUCUUCUAUCUGCACUGGCCUACCUAUGCGGACUCCUGCAUGACAUGGGGUGCCAAU